CAAAAGGGACAUUUUGCACCAGUACGACGAGCGCAGCUUUAAUAAGACAUAAUCCGCGAAGCUUGAUGAACUAUUGGAGCACUGCAAGAGCGACAGCUCGUGUAUUUGGCUCAAAACAUUUUCUGGCAUUCACUGACCAAGAUCGAGAGAACAUGAAUGUGACUUUCUCCCAUUGUCCCAGGUAUGAAAAACAGAAGAUCGAAGAUAACGAUAUCAUGCAUUGCUAGCAGAAGGCGUGGUAAACAAUUUCAUUCUGGUAUACUUUAU
rnacentral:lncRNA from 1 species